UGUUGCCUGCAAGGGCGUAUGGUGGAUGCCUUGGCAGACAGGACCGAUGAAGGACGUUUGAGGCUGCGAUAUGCCUCGGGGAGCCGCCAACAGGGCUUUGAUCCGAGGAUUUCCGAAUGGGGGAACCCACCGGCCGUCAUGGGCCGGUACCGCCGUGUGCGGGGGGUACGCAGGGAAGUGAAACAUCUCAGUACCUGCAGGAAAGGAUAUUCCGUGAGUAGUGGCGAGCGAAAGCGGAUCAGGCCAAACCUUGCGCGUGUGAUACCCGUCGGGGGUUGCGCGCGGGGUGUAGAGGGAUCGCGUUUGCCGGCUCCGACGGGCCGGCCGUCAGUUGCAUAAAACCAUGUGCCAGGGGAACCGGGUUGAAUACCGGGCCGCAGAGGGUGAGGGCCCCGUACCCGAACGCGCAUGGUCUGGCGAUCGCGUCUCCCAAGUAGCACGGGCCCCGUGGAAUCCCGUGCGAAUCUGUCCCGACCGUGGGAUAAGCCUAAAUAUUCCUGUCUGACCGAUAGCGAACGAGUACCGUGAGGGAAAGGUGAAAAGUACCCCGGGAGGGGAGUGAAACAGUCUCUGAAACCAUGCGCCUACGAACCGUCGGGGCCCUCUUGUGGGGUGACGGCGUGCCUAUCGAAAAAUGAGUCUGCGAGUCAGUGGCAUGUGGCGAGCAUAACCCGUGUGGGGUAUGCGUAGCGAAGGCGAGUCUUAAAAGGCGUUUGAGUCGCGUGUCCUGGACCCGAAGCGGGAUGAUCUAGCCCUGAGCAGGUUGAAGCGCGGGUAAGACCGUGUGGAGGACCGAACCCACCUGGGUUGAAAACCGGGGGGAUGACUUGGGGCUAGGGGUGAAAGGCCAAUCAAAUUCCGUGAUAGCUGGUUCUCUCCGAAAUGCAUUUAGGUGCAGCGUCGGAUCGAUUACAUCCGGGGGGUAGAGCGACUGGAUGCUUGCGGGCCCAUAUCGGGUACCAACAGCAACCAAACUCCGAAUACCCGUGAUGCGUAUCCCGGCAGUGAGUCGGCGGGGGAUAAGCUCCGUCGUCGAAAGGGAAACAGCCCAGAUCGUCGUCUAAGGUCCCCAAGCGUGUGCUAAGUGGGAAAGGAUGUGGAGUCGCAUAGACAGCCAGGAGGUUGGCUCAGAAGCAGCCACCCUUGAAAGAGUGCGUAACAGCUCACUGGUCUAGUGGUUCCGCGCCGACAAUGUAGCGGGGCUCAAGCACACCACCGAAGACGCGGCAGUAGCUUUGCUACUGGGUAGGAGAGCGUCCCAUGCGGGGCGAAGCGGCGGCGCAAGCCCGCCGUGGACCGCAUGGGAGUGAGAAUGCAGACAUGAGUAGCGAAAGACGGGUGAAGAUCCCGUCCGCUGGACGACCAAGGGUUCCAGGGCCACGUUCAUCGUCCCUGGGUGAGUCGGGUCCUAAGGCGAGGCCGACAGGCGUAGUCGAAUGGACGAACGGGUCGAUAUUCCCGUACCGGCAUGCAACCGGCAAAACCGAAUCCGCGAGUACUAACCUCCGGGUCCGGGCUCACGUCUCCUUCGGGAGCCGGAUGCCCUGGCCUGUUGGGACCGUAACGGUAGUAGGUCAGCGCGGGAGUGACGCAGAAGGGUAGCCGGCCGCGGAGGUGGUCUUCCGUGGUCAAGCACGCAGCCCGUCCCACAGGCAAAUCCGUGGGGCGCGUGGGCGAGGUGCGAUGAUGGGCGCCGCAGGGCGCGAUAUCCGGUGAUCCCGGCUGCCGAGAAAAGCUUCGGCGUGAGGCGGCAUGCCGCCCGUACCCCAAACCGACACUGGUGGUCAGGUAGAGAAUACCAAAGCGAUCGAGCGAAUCCUGGUCAAGGAACUCGGCAAAUCACUCCCGUUCCUUCGGUUUAAGGGAGACCCCCGAUGGUGAAGCGGCUUGCCCGCGGAGCUUUUGGGGGUGGCACAGACCAGGGGGUAGCGACUGUUUACCAAAAACACAGGAGCGUGCGAAGGCGCAAGCCGCUGUAUACGCUCUGACGCCUGCCCGGUGCCGGAAGGUUAAGAGGAUCCGUCAGGCCUCGGCCGAAGCGGUGAAUUCAAGCCCCGGUAAACGGCGGUGGUAACUAUAACCCUAAGGUAGCGAAAUUCCUUGUCGGGUAAGUUCCGACCUGCACGAAUGGCGUAACGAC
rnacentral:rRNA from 1 species